rnacentral:SRP_RNA from 1 species
GUCAGGCGUGGUGGCGCACGCCUGUAAUCCCAGCUACUUGGGAGGCUGAGGCAGAAGAAUUGCUUGAAUCCAGGAGGCAGAGGUUGCAGUGAGCUGAGGUUGUGCCACUGCACUCCAGCCUGGGUGACAGAGCGAGACCCCGUCUCAA